rnacentral:rRNA from 1 species
UACGUAGGGGGCAAGCGUUGUCCGGAUUUAUUGGGCGUAAAGAGCGUGUAGGCGGCCAGGUAGGUCCGUUGUGAAAACUCGAGGCUCAACCUCGAGACGCCGAUGGAAACCAUCUGGCUAGAGUCCGGAAGAGGAGAGUGGAAUUCCCGGUGUAGCGGUGAAAUGCGCAGAUAUCGGGAAGAACACCCGUGGCUAAGGCGGCUCUCUAGUACGGUACUGACGCUGAGACGCGAAAAGCGUGGGGAGCGAACAGG